CAAUGGGCAUUGCAAUAGUGGGCAUCACUGCCGUGGUGCUGCAACAAUGGGCAUUGCAGCUCUGGGCAUUGCAGUAGUGGACACUGCAACAGUGCUCGUUGCAAUAGGGGGCAUCACUGCCGUGGUGCUGCAGCUGUGGGCAUUGCAACCGUGAUACUGCAACAGUGGGCGUUGCAGCUGUGGGCUUUGCAGCUGUGGGCAUCACUGCCGUGGUGCUGCAACCGUAGGCAUUGCAACAGGGGACAUUGCAAGCGUGGUACCGCAACCGUGGGCAUUGCACCAGUGGGCAUUGCUGCUGUGAGCGCUGCAGCUGGAGCACGGAUGCCAUGGCAUUGCAACCGUGGCAUCGCUGCCUCGGGCAGUGCCGCUGUGGCAUUGCCACCAAGGGCAUUGCUGCUGUGGCGCUGCCCCCGCGUCGUUACUGCUUCGGGCAUCGCCGUCGUGGGCCGCGCUGCCACGUGGGCACUGCUGCUGUGGGCAUUGCAGCCACGGGGAUUUGUGCCGUGGGCAUCGCCGCCGUCUGACCGCCGCCGCGGGCACCGUCACUGCACCACGUCCCCUGCGUGGGCACAGCAAGAGCAGGGGGUCUCCAGGUGACCCCCCCGCGCCGUGUGCCCCGUGCCACCGCGACACGGCCACGUCCCCGCGGCAUCACCGGGCACGGGGGCACCCCCACGCUGUGUCCCCGGCCACGUGCCACCCCCAGCGGGUCCUCGGCGGUGGCUCUGGGUGUCCCCGUAUCUGGGUUUGAGUCGGGGUGGCUGGGGGGGGACGCUGGGGACGCGGUGGUUGGCUGAGACCCGGCACGCUCGGUUCACGUGUGGCGGGGCCGGGAAGGGUUAAGGGAAGCGGAGGCCCCCGAGCUGUCUCGUUGCCAACGGAAACCAGACAUGAGGUCAUCGGGGAUGAACUUGGACUUGGGGCGGCUGGAGACAAUGGGAGAGCGGUGGGGGGCCCCCCGCCCCACCACCCCUGCGCUGGGGACAGCGCUGUCCCCAAGGGGGGAGCCCUGGGGGUGUCACUGCAUCGCCUUCAUUGGGGUGAAGCCAUCCCCAAAAUCGCCGUGGGGAGGGAGGGGGGAGCAGUGUGGGGCACAGUGGCCCCGAAAAUGGGGAUUUGCUCGGUGGGGUGACACUGGUGGGGACAGCGUGGGGACACUGGGGACCCGUCUUGCUGCUGGCACCAGGGAAAGCUGGGCAGGGGACGUGGGGACAUGGAGGGGCACAGUGAGAUGGGGACACGAAGGAGCACGGUGACACAGGGACAUGGAGGGAGCACAGUCACAUGGGGACAUGGGUGCAUGGAGGGGCACAAUGAUGUGGAGACAUGAAGGGACACAGUGACAGGGGGACGUGGGGACAUGGAGGGGGUACAGUCACAUGGGGCACAGUGACAUGGGGACACGGAGGGGGAAUAGUGACCUGGGGACAUGGAGGUAGCACAGUGACACAGGGAUAUGGAGGGACUCAGAGGGAGCGCAGUCACACGGAGACGUGGGGACAUGGAGGGGUCACAGUGACGUGGGGACAUGAGGACACGCAGGGGGCACGGCGACACGGGGAUGUGGAAGGGGAAUAGUGACACGGGGACGUGGAGGUGCACAGUGACACGGGG
rnacentral:lncRNA from 1 species